UCUUGUUCAACCCUCUUCCCUCCCUCUUCCCACGGAGGACUAAGAGAUGAGCCUAAUGGGUGACAGUGGCCUGGUACCCAGUCUGUGGCCUGAGGAUACAGGAAGGGUGGGGAAGCCUCUCGUAAAGCAGCUGGAUGUCUAAGCUUGCGAUCGGUGGGCUUGCAGGUUCUGUUUCUCUGUGUGUGUGUUUCGGUAAUUCAUUUUCCUGGUGUUUUACAGAAGGAUUCCUUCAAGAUGGAUUGAGGACCAGAAGAACAAUAAUGACAACAGUUUCUUGGGCGGAAGCCGUUGCCUGGGAGAGUUACAACUCAUUCAGUCACAUGACCGUCAGGGCGGCCUGUCUGCUCCUAUUCCCUCCCCACAAGUCUUCCCUCAGAAGCCCUAAGAUGGUCUCAGAGACCUCAGGAACCCCAGUUUAUUCUCCAGCCUCUGCCCUGACAGGAAGAGAAGAUGAUUUUUCUUGUGGGCUUUAGCCUUUUGCUUUCCUGCAAGGGCGUGCUGUGUGACGAGGUGACCCAGAGCUCCCCAGACCAGACAGUGGCCAGUGGCAGUAAGGUGACACUGCUCUGCACUUAUUACACUACACAGUCAAACCCGGACUUAUACUGGUACCGAAUACGGCCAGAUCACGCCUUUCAGUUUAUCCUUUACAGAGAUAACACUCGAUCCAAAAAUGCAGAUUUUACUGGGCAUCGGUUUUCUGUGCUGCAUGAUCAGUCCCGGAGAACCUUCCAUUUAGUGAUCUCCCCGGUGGAGCCUGAAGACAGUGCCACUUACUACUGUGCCAUGAACCCCCACAGUGUCGCAGGUGCUCAGGAAGGCUGAACGUAAACCCGGGCACAGCCUCCUCGAGCUACCUCUCAGGGGAUCCUUCUUCCCAGUUAUUUUGUGUCCCGGCCUGGCCUUCGGAGGUGCCCUAAAGGGUCUACUAAAUAAUAAAAAGCCAGCUCCCCCUGGCUUCAGCUGGAGCGGAGCACCUCCCCCUUUCUGACUCAGUGGGCCCUGGUGGCAGCAGAGGGGGAGAGGUACGUCUGAAGAAGUCUCAUCUGUGUGUCCCCAGUGCCCCGCUCACUCACGCCUGACAGCGCAGGGCUGACAUGCAUGUGCUGCGAGUCCUGUGACGGUG